GAUGAGAACGCAGCGAAAUGCGAUAAGUAAUGUGAAUUGCAGAAUUCAGUGAAUCAUCGAAUCUUUGAACGCACAUUGCGCCCGCCAGUAUUCUGGCGGGCAUGCCUGUUCGAGCGUCAUUUCAACCCUCAAGCCCUGCUUGGUGUUGGGGAUCGGCGUUGCCUCCUCCGUCGUUCGCGGCGGGGUGAGGUCGCCGCCCCCGAAAUGAAUUGGCGGUCUCGUCGCAGCUUUCCUUUGCGUAGUAACAUACCACCUCGCAACCAGGAGCGCGGCGCGGCCACUGCCGUAAAACGCCCAACUUUUUCAAGAGUUGACCUCGAAUCAGGUAGGAAUACCCGCUGAACUUAAGCAUAUCAAUAAGCGGAGGA
rnacentral:misc_RNA from 1 species